rnacentral:rRNA from 1 species
GUGGGGAAUAUUGGACAAUGGGCGAAAGCCUGAUCCAGCCAUGCCGCGUGUGUGAAGAAGGUCUUCGGAUUGUAAAGCACUUUAAGUUGGGAGGAAGGGCAGUAAGUUAAUACCUUGCUGUUUUGACGUUACCGACAGAAUAAGCACCGGCUAACUUCGUGCCAGCAGCCGCGGUAAUACGAAGGGUGCAAGCGUUAAUCGGAAUUACUGGGCGUAAAGCGCGCGUAGGUGGUUUUGUAAGUUGGAGGUGAAAUCCCCGGGCUCAACCUGGGAACUGACUCCAAAACUGCAUGACUAGAGUACGGUAGAGGGUAGUAGAAUUUCCUGUGGAGCGGUGAAAUGCGUAGAUAUAGGAAGGAACACCAGUGGCGAAGGCGACUACCUGGACUGAUACUGACACUGAGGUGCGAAAGCGUAGGGAGCAAACAGGAUUAGAAACCCCGGUAGUCC